GUGCAAAUUCAGUAUAAAGCUUAUGACCUGCUGAUAGUCAUGACAAUGCAGUAUUGCAGGGCUACAUGGUUACACUUCUUUAUUCUUAAACUUUAGGAUGCUUAGUAAUUUCAAGGAUGAAGCCAAACAUGCAAGCAGAGAUGGUGUAAUUUGCUUCCUGCUGCUUUUAAAGGAUGUCUUCCUUAUCCUGAGAUCCCUGGCAGAGAAACUGCGCAAUGAAAACACAAAUUGAUUGACUGUGUGUGACUUUGAGAAUAUUUGCCACAGGCUAAGGGUGUUCAUCUGCUUAAACAUGCCUAUGUACCCAGACACAGGCAGUUGACUACUGAGUCUUCCAACACUGAGAUUCCCAGUCAUGAACCAGGUCCAGCUCAGAAGCUACCUUAAUUUGCAAAAUGCAGUGUCUCAUCUAACACAGCAGAUGUAAAAAUAUAGAAAAUAAGGAAGUACAGAUCUGCUU
rnacentral:lncRNA from 1 species